CCUGGUGCUUAUAGCGCUACGGAACCACACCGACCCCAUCCCGAACUCGGAGGUGAAACGUAGCUGCG
rnacentral:rRNA from 1 species